GACGAACGCUGGCGGCGUGCUUAACACAUGCAAGUCGAGCGAGGCCCUUCCUUCGGGAAGGUGUCCUAGCGGCGAACGGGUGAGUAACACGUGGGCAACCUGCCCUCAGCUCUGGGAUAACCCCGGGAAACCGGGGCUAAUACCGGAUACGACCUCCACGGGCAUCCGCGGAGGUGGAAAGGUCUUCCGGCUGAGGAUGGGCCCGCGGCCUAUCAGCUAGUUGGUGGGGUGACGGCCCACCAAGGCGACGACGGGUAGCCGGCCUGAGAGGGCGACCGGCCACACUGGGACUGAGACACGGCCCAGACUCCUACGGGAGGCAGCAGUGGGGAAUCUUGCGCAAUGGGCGAAAGCCUGACGCAGCGACGCCGCGUGAGGGAUGACGGCCU
rnacentral:rRNA from 1 species